CAGGUGGAUGCCGAAAAGCCUGAGACAACAGAGUAGGCA
rfam:Fulvivirga imtechensis AK7 contig47, whole genome shotgun sequence.